rnacentral:rRNA from 1 species
CUACGUGCCAGCAGCCGCGGUAAUACGGAAGGUUCGGGCGUUAUCCGGAUUUAUUGGGUUUAAAGGGAGCGUAGGCCGGAGAUUAAGUGUGUUGUGAAAUGUAGACGCUCAACGUCUGAAUUGCAGCGCGAACUGGUUCACUUGAGUAUGCACAACGUAGGCGGAAUUCGUCGUGUAGCGGUGAAAUGCUUAGAUAUGACGAAGAACUCCGAUUGCGAAGGCAGCUUACGGGAGCACAACUGACGCUGAAGCUCGAAGGUGCGGGUAUCAAACAGGAUUAGAUACCCUGGUAGUCCGCACAGUAAACGAUGGAUGCCCGUUGUUAGUUCACCUAAGAAUUAGCGACCAAGCGAAAGCAUUAAGCAUCCCACCUGGGGAGUACGCCGGCAACGGUGAAACUCAAAGGAAUUGACGGGGGCCCGCACAAGCGGAGGAACAUGUGGUUUAAUUCGAUGAUACGCGAGGAACCUUACCCGGGCUUGAA